rnacentral:lncRNA from 1 species
UUUUUUUUUGAAUUUAUAACCUGAUUUUCGUGGCUUUGUGGGCUCAAAUGAGAGAGGUCCAAGUCCAAGAUUUUUCUCUUUUUUGAAUUUUGUUUUUUUCGCUUUUUUUGUUUUUAUUCAAAACGCGUGGGCUUCGCCAAGCGAGCAUGACAGUUCAGGAAAUUCCUAUGAGUGCAGGUGAUUCUGGUGGCUUUUCUUGGAACUCGCUAGGUGACCCAUUUUGCUCGCCUAGCGAGCAUGACAGCUUAUGAAUAAACUUUUGCUCCUUCAAUAUUAACGUUUUGAAUGAUGAAUAGACCCUAUUUGAACAUGUUGGAAGUAACUCAAGUCAUUCCCUGACCAUUUCACCUUCAGUUGACCAACAGUUGAC